CGCCUUUAGCUAUACAAGUAUUAAAGGUCCCGCCUGCCCAGUGAACUAGUUUUCAACGGCCGCGGUAUUAUAACCGUGCAAAGGUAGCGUAAUCACUUGUCCUCUAAAUAGGGACCAGUAUGAACGGCUAAAUGAGGGUGACACUGUCUUAUAUGACUACUCAGUGAAACUGAUCCCCCAGUACAAAGGCUGGGAUACCCACACAAGACGAGAAGACCCUGUGGAGCUUACAACCACGCGCACUAACCUAGGACACCAGCACCAACAGGUAAACAAAAAAUCUAUAAAUAGGCCACAGUUUAAGUUGGGGCAACUGCGGAGAACAAACAAACCUCCGUGCACCAGGGCAACCGCCCCUAAGAGAGCCACACCCCAAAAAGACCAACAAAAUUGACCCAGUAACACUGAUAACCGAACCAAGUUACCCCAGGGAUAACAGCGCCAUCCUCUCCAAGAGCCCAUAUCGACAAGAGGGUUUACGACCUCGAUGUUGGAUCAGGACCCCCUAGUGGUGCAGCCGCUACUAAAGGUCCGUUUGUUCAACGGCUAACGUCCU
rnacentral:rRNA from 1 species